rnacentral:rRNA from 1 species
UACGGAGGGGGCGAGCGUUGUCCGAAGUCACUGGGCGUAAAGCGCGCGUAGGCGGGCGGCUAAGUGGGGAGUGAAAGGCUGGGGCUCAACCCCAUGCAGUGCUCCUCAUACUGGUCGUCUUGAGGGCGGUAGGGAGAAGUGGAAUGGCUGGUGUAGCGGUGAAAUGCGUAGAUAUCAGUCGGAACACCGGUGGCGAAGGCGGCUUCUUGGGCCGUUCCUGACGCUGAGGCGCGAAAGCUGGGGGAGCGAACGGG